rnacentral:rRNA from 1 species
UACGUAGGUGACCAGCGUUGUCCGGAUUUACUGGGCGUAAAGAGCGUGCAGGCGGUCGUUCAAGUCGGGUGUGAAAGCCCCCGGCUCAACUGGGGAGGGUCAUUCGAUACUGAUCGACUCGAAGGCAGGAGAGGGAAGUGGAAUUCCCGGUGUAGUGGUGAAAUGCGUAGAUAUCGGGAGGAACACCAGUGGCGAAGGCGGCCCCCUGGGCCGUACCUGACGCUGAGGCGCGAAGGCUAGGGGAGCGAACGGG